rnacentral:rRNA from 1 species
AACGAACGCUGGCGGCAGGCUUAACACAUGCAAGUCGAGCGCCCCGCAAGGGGAGAGGCCGACGGGUGAGUAACGCGUGGGGACGUACCUCUUGGUUCGGAACAACUUCGGGAAACUGGAGCAAAUACCGGAUAAGCCCUAACGGGGAAAGAUGUAUCGCCGUCAAAUCGGCCCGCGUCUGAUUAGCUAGUGGGCGAGGUAACGGCGCACCAAGGCGACGAUAAGUAGCUGGUCUGAGAGGAUGAUCAGCCACACUGGGACUGAGACACGGCCCAGACUCCUACGGGAGGCAGCAGUGGGGAAUAUUGGACAGUGGGCGCGAGCCUGAUCCUGCCAUGCCGCGGGAGUGAUGAAGGCCUUAGGGUUGUAAAGCUCUUUUGUCCGGGAAGAUAAUGACUGUACCGGAAGAAUAAGCCCCGGCUAACUUCGUG